rnacentral:rRNA from 1 species
AUACGGAGGGGGCGAGCGUUGUUCGGAUUUACUGGGCGUAAAGGGUCCGUAGGCGGUUGCGUAAGUCUGGUGUGAAAGCUUCGCCGCUCAACGGGAAGCGGUCACUGGAUACUGCUGUGACUAGAGUCCGGUAGAGGAGCGUGGAAUUCCUGGUGUAGCGGUGAAAUGCGCAGAUAUCCGGAGGAACACCAGCGGCGAAGGCGGCGCUCUGGGCCGGUACUGACGCUGAGGAGCGAAAGCAUGGGGAGCAAACAGGAUUAGAAACCCCAGUAGUCC